CAACAGGGAUUGCCCUAGUAACGGCGAGUGAAGCGGCAACAGCUCAAAUUUGAAAUCUGGCUCUCGGGCCCGAGUUGUAAUUUGUAGAGGAUGCUUUUGGCAAGGUGCCUUCCGAGUUCCCUGGAACGGGACGCCAUAGAGGGUGAGAGCCCCGUCUGGUUGGACACCGAGCCUCUGUAAAGCUCCUUCGACGAGUCGAGUAGUUUGGGAAUGCUGCUCUAAAUGGGAGGUAUAUGUCUUCUAAAGCUAAAUACUGGCCAGAGACCGAUAGCGCACAAGUAGAGUGAUCGAAAGAUGAAAAGCACUUUGAAAAGAGAGUUAAAAAGCACGUGAAAUUGUUGAAAGGGAAGCGCUUAUGACCAGACUUGGGCUUGGUUGAUCAUCCGGCGUUCUCGCCGGUGCACUCUUCCAGUUCAGGCCAGCAUCAGUUUGCCCCGGGGGAUAAAAGCUUCGGGAAUGUGGCUCCUCCGGGAGUGUUAU
rnacentral:rRNA from 1 species